GUAAGCUACUAAGAGCGAAUGGUGGAUGCCUUGACUGGUAGAGGCGAUGAAGGACGUACUAGACUGCGAUAAGCUAGGUGGAGCUGUCAAGAAGCUUUGAUGCCUAGAUUUCCGAAUGGGGCAACCCAAUGUAUAGAGAUAUACAUUACCAUAAUGGAGCGAACGAGGGGAAUUGAAACAUCUUAGUACCCUCAGGAAAAGAAAUCAAAAGAGAUUGCGUCAGUAGCGGCGAGCGAAAGCGCAAGAGGGCAAACCCAGUGCUUGCACUGGGGGUUGUAGGACUGCAAUGUGCAAUAGGAAAGGUUAGCAGAACACUCUGGAAAGUGUAGCCAUAGAGGGUGAUAGUCCCGUAUGCGAAAACCUAACCUUAGCUAGCAGUAUCCUGAGUAGGGCGGAACACGAGAAAUUCUGUCUGAAGCUGGGUAGACCACUAUCCAACCCUAAAUACUACUACCAGAUCGAUAGCGAACAAGUACCGUGAGGGAAAGGUGAAAAGAACGGCGGUGAGCCGAGUGAAAUAGAACCUGAAACCAUUUGCUUACAAUCAUUCAGAGCCCUAUGGAGCAAUCCAGGGUGAUGGACUGCCUUUUGCAUAAUGAGCCUGCGAGUUGUGGUGUCUGGCAAGGUUAAGCUAACGCGAAGCCGUAGCGAAAGCGAGUCUGAAUAGGGCGCUAAGUCAGAUGCUGCAGACCCGAAACGAAGUGAUCUAUCCAUGAGCAGGUUGAAGCUAGUGUAAGAACUAGUGGAGGACCGAACCCGCUAGCGUUGAAAAGCUAUGGGAUGACUUGUGGAUAGGGGUGAAAGGCCAAUCAAACUUCGUGAUAGCUGGUUCUCUCCGAAAUAUAUUUAGGUAUAGCGUUGUGUCGUAAUAUAAGGGGGUAGAGCACUGAAUGGGCUAGGGCAUACACCAAUGUACCAAACCCUAUCAAACUCCGAAUACCUUAUAUGUAAUCACAGCAGUCAGGCGGCGAGUGAUAAAAUCCGUCGUCAAGAGGGAAACAACCCAGACUACCCGCUAAGGUCCCCAAAUCUUACUUAAGUGGAAAACGAUGUGAAGUUACUCAAACAACCAGGAGGUUGGCUUAGAAGCAGCCAUCCUUUAAAGAAAGCGUAAUAGCUCACUGGUCUAGUGAUUUUGCGCGGAAAAUAUAACGGGGCUAAAGUAAGUACCGAAGCGGUAGGCUUGUGCUUAAUCAAAUUCUUUAAGACAAGGGCAAAAACCCUAACGAAUUUAAGAAAGUUAAGAAGUUAAGAGGUUAAAUAUAAAUUUUUGUUUUAAAUUUUAAGUUUAAAUUUAAAAAACUUAACUUUGAAAUUUGAAUUUGAAAGAAAUUGAAAGAAAAAGAAUUUAAAGACUUAAAUUUAAAACUUAAAUUUAAAAAAAUAAUUUAAAUUUAAAAAACAAAAUUCAAAAUUUAACUUUCAAAAAAAGAAAAAAUUCAAAAAUUCCCACUAAAGAAUUUGCUUAAGCGCAAGCGGUAGGAGAGCGUUCUAUUUGCGCCGAAGGUAUACCGGUAAGGAGUGCUGGAGCGGAUAGAAGUGAGCAUGCAGGCAUGAGUAGCGAUAAUUAAUGUGAGAAUCAUUAACGCCGUAAACCCAAGGUUUCCUACGCGAUGCUCGUCAUCGUAGGGUUAGUCGGGUCCUAAGCUGAGUCCGAAAGGGGUAGGCGAUGGCAAAUAGGUUAAUAUUCCUAUACCAACAUUAGUGUGCGAUGGAAGGACGCUUAGGGCUAGGGGGGCUAGCGGAUGGAAGUGCUAGUCUAAGGUUGUAGGAGCUUAUACAGGCAAAUCCGUAUAAGAAUACUCCGAGAGCUGAAAGGCUUUUUGAAGUCUUCGGAUGGAAAGAAGAACCCCUGAUGCCGUCGAGCCAAGAAAAGUUUCUAAGUUUAGCUAAUGUUGCCCGUACCGUAAACCGACACAGGUGGGUGGGAUGAGUAUUCUAAGGCGCGUGGAAGAACUCUCUUUAAGGAACUCUGCAAAAUAGCACCGUAUCUUCGGUAUAAGGUGUGCCUCCCUUUGUAUUAGAAUUCACUUCGAAAGCAAAGAAGGUUACAACAAAGAGUCCCUCCCGACUGUUUACCAAAAACACAGCACUCUGCUAACUCGUAAGAGGAUGUAUAGGGUGUGACGCCUGCCCGGUGCUCGAAGGUUAAUUGAUGGGGUUAGCAUUAGCGAAGCUCUUGAUCGAAGCCCGAGUAAACGGCGGCCGUAACUAUAACGGUCCUAAGGUAGCGAAAUUCCUUGUCGGUUAAAUACCGACCUGCAUGAAUGGCGUAACGAGAUGGGAGCUGUCUCAAAGAGGGAUCCAGUGAAAUUGUAGUGGAGGUGAAAAUUCCUCCUACCCGCGGCAAGACGGAGAGACCCCGUGGACCUUUACUACAGCUUGACACUGCUAUUUGGAUAAGAAUGUGCAGGAUAGGUGGGAGGCUUUGAGUAUAUGACGCCAGUUGUAUAUGAGCCAUUGUUGAGAUACCACUCUUUCUUAUUUGGGUAGCUAACCAGCUUGAGUUAUCCUCAAGUGGGACAAUGUCUGGUGGGUAGUUUGACUGGGGCGGUCGCCUCCCAAAUAAUAACGGAGGCUUACAAAGGUUGGCUCAUAGCGGUUGGAAAUCGCUAGUAGAGUAUAAAGGUAUAAGCCAGCUUAACUGCAAGACAUACAAGUCAAGCAGAGACGAAAGUCGGUCUUAGUGAUCCGGUGGUUCUGUGUGGAAGGGCCAUCGCUCAAAGGAUAAAAGGUACCCCGGGGAUAACAGGCUGAUCUCCCCCAAGAGCUCACAUCGACGGGGAGGUUUGGCACCUCGAUGUCGGCUCAUCGCAUCCUGGGGCUGGAGCAGGUCCCAAGGGUAUGGCUGUUCGCCAUUUAAAGCGGUACGCGAGCUGGGUUCAGAACGUCGUGAGACAGUUCGGUCCCUAUCUGCCGUGGGCGUAAGAAGAUUGAAGAGAUUUGACCCUAGUACGAGAGGACCGGGUUGAACAAACCACUGGUGUAGCUGUUGUUCUGCCAAGAGCAUCGCAGCGUAGCUAAGUUUGGAAAGGAUAAACGCUGAAAGCAUCUAAGCGUGAAGCCAACUCUAAGAUGAAUCUUCUCUAAGCUCUCUAGAAGACUACUAGUUUGAUAGGCUGGGUGUGUAAUGGAUGAAAGUCCUUUAGCUGACCAGUACUAAUAGAGCGUUUGGCUUACUUUUAUAAAGCAU
rnacentral:rRNA from 1 species